CUGGGUGGGCAGGGCUUCAUGACAGGGAAGGGCCAUGGACUGGGUGGGCAGGGCUCCAGGACAGGGCGGGGCCAUGGGCUGGGAGGGCGGGGCCAUGGGCUGGGUGGGCGGGGCUCCAGGACUGGGUGAGGGCUCCCAGGAGGCUCUGGGUUGGGAGAGGUGACCCACCUGUCACAGGUCCCUGCUGGAGGCUGCCCAGGAUCUUCUCACCCAAGAGAUGAAUCAGCCGAGUCACCACCUGCGGGCAGACACAGGAGCCAAGAGCCACACGUUUUAAACUGAGAAACACUGGGAACCAAAGACAGUGAUGCUCAACAACAGCGAGACUCAGCCAAUGGCGCUGGAUCUGCUUUUCAAAACCUCCAUGAACUGAGUUGCACAUGACUCACAAGCCACGUGCUGGGCCAUGGCUGUUUAGGCCUUGCAGCCUUCUUGAUGCCCAGAAUGAAAAACUUCUUGGGAUCCGUGUGCUGGCUGAUGAACAACUGCAGACCUGCCCUUCAGGCCCCUCUGCCGGUCCUUCCUGGGCGCUCUCCUCACCGCUGACCCUGCACUUCCGAGCAGCCCGCCCUGUCCUUCUCCAGAUCUCAGAGUGAGAGUCACUUCCCUUUCCUCUGCCACACCCACAUCACUCAUGAGUAGAGAGGCCACCAAGAAGGCAGCUGCACGACUGUCCUGGGAAGCAGCCUGGGCGCCUCUCCAGGUUUCCUGCUCACCGUCACCGCCCCCACCCAGCUGGGCUCUAAUCUUCACCUCCUCCAGGUCGUUUUCCAUCCAUGUGUAGGUAGACCGAAUGAUCACCACAACUCAGGGCACAGUUUGGGACAUGGCCUGUGCCACCCUCACCCGCACCACCCUCACCCGCGCCCUCACCUGCUCUGCGCCCUCACCUGCUCCGCACCCUCACCUGCGCCCUGCCCUCACCUGCUCCGUGACCUCAUCCACUCCGCACCCUCACCUGCUCCGCGCCCUCACCUGUGCCCUGCCCUCACCUGCUCCAUGACCUCAUCCACUCUGUGCCUUCACCUGCUCUGCGCCCUCACCAGCUCCGCACCCUCACCUGCGCCCUGCCCUCACCUGCUCCGUGACCUCAUCCACUCCGCACCCUCACCUGCGCCCUGCCCUCACCUGCUCCGUGACCUCAUCCACUCUGCACCCUCACCUGCGCCCUGCCCUCACCUGCUCCGUGACCUCAUCCACUCCGCGCCUUCACCUGCUCUGCGCUCUCACCUGCUCCGCGCCCUCACCUGCUCUGUGCCCUCACCCGCUCCGCCCUCACCUGUUCCAUGCCCUCAUCCACUCCACACCCUCAUCCGCUCCGCAUCCUCACCCACGCCAUGCUCACCUGUGGGUACCUGCGCUUGAUGGACGUGAGGGCUCCUGCCGGCAGCUUGGCCAAUUCUGAGUCCCGAACGGCAUGCACCGUGGUCGCCCGGGCCUGGUGGGUCAGUGUCUCCACCUGAGGACAGGAGCCGGCUGCUGGGGCCGCGGGCUUGGGAGGGCCGAGCCAGCUGGACCUGUCCCUGACAGCCUCCGGUGCCUGCCAGAGCCACACAUGACACCCCAUCCACACCGCAAGGCGGAGGCAGUCAGUGAGUGCUGGCGGGCGACGCUGUCAGAACCACUGGAACAUGCCAGAAGCCAAAGGUGCCCCCUAGCAACCCAGGCAAAUUGCAGACACAGGCAUUGGACACCACAGGCUGGAACAAGGGCAGCCUCAGCUCUCCCGAAGAAAUAAAUGCCUUUGGAGAACACCUCUUUUUUUUUUUUCUUGGAGACGGA
rnacentral:lncRNA from 10 species